rnacentral:rRNA from 1 species
CCCUUAGAUGUCCUGGGCCGCACGCGCGUUACACUGAUGCAUUCAACGAGCUUAUAACCUUGGCCGAGAGGCCUGGGCAAUCUUGUUAACGUGCAUCGUGAUAGGGAUAGAUUAUUGAAAUUAUUAAUCUUGAACGAGGAAUUCCCAGUAAACGCAGAUCAUCAAUCUGCAUUGAUUACGUCCCUGCCCUUUGUACACACCGCCCGUCGCACCUACCGAUUGGAUGGUCCGGUGAAGCCUCGGGAUUGUGGUUCUUGCCGCUUUAUUGUGGCGUGACCGCGAGAACUUGUCUAAACCUUAUCAUCUAGAGGAAGGUGAAGUCGUAACA